CAAGUCUGGUGCCAGCAGCCGCGGUAAUUCCAGCUCCAAUAGCGUAUAUUAAACUUGUUGCAGUUAAAAAGCUCGUAGUUGUAUUUUUGCGUUAGCGGUUUGACCAUUUGGUUGGUUAUUUCGUUUUCGCUUUUGGGAAUUUCCCUUUUUACUUUGAGAAAAUUAGAGUGUUUCAAGCAGACUUUUGUCUUGAAUACUUCAGCAUGGAAUAAUAGAGUAGGACUUUGGUUCUAUUUUGUUGGUUAUUGAACCUUAGUAAUGGUUAAUAGGAACGGUUGGGGGCAUUCGUAUUUAACUGUCAGAGGUGAAAUUCUUAGAUUUGUUAAAGACGAACUACUGCGAAAGCAUUUGCCAAGGACGUUUCCAUUAAUCAAGAACGAAAGUUAGGGGAUCGAAGACGAUCAGAUACCGUCGUAGUCCUAACCAUAAACUAUGCCGACUAGUGA
rnacentral:rRNA from 1 species